rnacentral:ribozyme from 1 species
UCUGCUAUAAUACAGUCUUCCAGCCUGAAGCCUGUUUCAUGAAUUCCUCUUCUCUUCUACUUCAUCUUUGCCUUCUCCAUGAGAAGCUGUAAAGACGGGUAUUUACUUCUUGCCAAGUUUGAUUUCGCUUCUUCAGUAUUGAUACCACCUUUGCUCGAUUUUAUAAUGUUUAAUAUCAUGGCAACUAGAUAGAUUCUACGAAUAAAUG